UAAUAGAGAUGAAGCUUGAUAGAUCCACCCAGGUGUAGGUGAAAUGGUAGAGCCUCAAGCGUAAUAGAUGCCGUGCUCUCGUGCUGAAGUUCAGCCCCGUGUCCUGAAGGGUUGUCUGGCAGCACAGAGAUGGGUUGCUCUUUGCACAGUUAAAAAGUCAAUGUGCUCCUUCCAGCUCACAUGUAUGACUAAUUUAGAAAGCAACCUGGAUCUAGGUGAGCGCUGCAGACCUGCCUCUUCUGCUCAGUGCACGGACAAAGCACAGCACACAGAGUAUCGAAAGAGACAUCAAUCAAACUGGAUAAUUUUGCUUUGACCAUUAAACACUUGUGGCUUUGUGAGGUUGCCUGAAGUUCCCCGGCGGCGCCCGGCAGGACGGGGAGCGCCACGGCUGCGGCUGGCGGGG